rnacentral:ribozyme from 1 species
AAAGAAGAAGAAGAAAAGAAGAUAAACAAAGAAUCAUAAGUUUGAAAAGAACGAAACAUCUUAACAAAAAUGUCAAAAAUCCACAUUUUCAUUGCAUUGUUUGCCCUUUUGGCCGUGGUCGACACGGUUUCUGCUCGCCGACUCUCCUCCUUUUUGAAUAACAAUAGAACCCCAGGGAAAGCGGGAGACGAUGCCAU